AACAAAGAAAAAACUGGAAUUCAGUAAAGAAUACCAACUGGGAAGGCAUCUAGGUUUAAGGGUCAAACUCUAUAAAUCCGCACUUUCACAUAUAUAAAAAGAUCAACAAAUGAGACAUAUUACUUUGGUCCAAACUGAAGACGGUGAAGAGUUCGUGGGCACAAAAUUUUAUUUGAAUUUCAUCUGGCUAGUUUAGCUCACCCUAAAGGCUUAAUGCAACAACAAAGUGGAGAUGAUUUAAAAUUGUCAUGUAAUAAUAUGAUAAUGCAACAUUAGUUUUAUUAGGUUUCCUUUUCUAAAGUAUUUAAUUAUGUGAACAAAUAUGUGAAUAAUCUCACCUUUUCUGUAGGAUUACCUUCCUUGAAAACUACUUACAGAAAGCAAGAUAUAUCUAAACAAAACUCUGGGGUCGAGUCCCUUGUAGUUAUGAUGAAGUUUUUAUUACCCUUUUCAUGUUUCUAUUACCCGAUUUUUACAGAAAGAAGAAUUUAUUAGUAAAUAAUUCGCAUGGUAUGAAAUGCUUAAAGGUUAAGCACCUGAAAUUGAAAUGUAUGUCGUGGCUCCCAUCCAGUUUUGGCUGCCCUGAAAGGUAUGUAGUGACUCCUGCUUUGGCUGCCCUGAAAGGUAUGUAGUGACUCCUGCUUUGACUGCCCUGAAAGGUAUGUAGUGACUCCUGCUUUGGCUGCCCUGAAAGGUAUGUAGUGACUCCUGCUUUGGCUGCCCUGAAAGGUAUGUAGUGACUCCUGCUUUGGCUGCCCUGAAAGGUAUGUAGUGACUCCUGCUUUGGCUGCCCUGAAAGGUAUGUAGUGACUCCUGCUUUGACUGCCCUGAAAGGUAUGUAGUGACUCCUGCUUUGGCUGCCCUGAAAGGUAUGUAGUGACUCCUGCUUUGACUGCCCUGAAAGGUAUGUAGUGACUCCUGCUUUGGCUGCCCUGAAAGGUAUGUAGUGACUCCUGCUUUGACUGCCCUGAAAGGUAUGUAGUGACUCCUGCUUUGGCUGCCCUGAAAGGUAUGUAGUGACUCCUGCUUUGGCUGCCCUGAAAGGUAUGUAGUGACUCCUGCUUUGGCUGCCCUGAAAGGUGUGUAGUGACUCCUGCCCAUUUUUAGCUGCCCUGAAAGGUAUGUAGUAACUUCUGCCCACUUUUGUUUGCCAUGAAAGGUAUGUAGUGACUCCUGACUGGUUUUGGCUGCCCAGAAAGAUAUAUAGUGCCUCCCGCACGGUGCACACACACAAACACACUUUUUUCCAGUGAUGUGGCUUGCUUUUGCUUGGUCAAUAUGGCUCUACAAUGUCUUGCUGUUGUGUGAGGAACUGCCCCAAACUUCACUGGUGCUGAAGGGAACAGCAUCCCAUUCAACAAUAUUUCAUGCUAUUUUGAAAAUUACCUAUGUAAUUUACAGGGAAUAAAUUAUCA